GAUGAACGCUGGCGGUGUGCCUAAUACAUGCAAGUCGAGCGAACAGACGAGGAGCUUACUCCUCUGACGUUAGCGGCGGACGGGUGAGUAACACGUGGAUAACCUACCUAUAAGACUGGGAUAACUUCGGGAAACCGGAGCUAAUACCGGAUAACAUUUUGACCCGCAUGGUUCAACAGUGAAAGACGGUCUUGCUGUCACUUAUAGAUGGAUCCGCGUCGCAUUAGCUAGUUGGUAAGGUAACGGCUUACCAAGGCAACGAUGCAUAGCCGACCUGAGAGGGUGAUCGGCCACACUGGAACUGAGACACGGUCCAGACUCCUACGGGAGGCAGCAGUAGGGAAUCUUCCGCAAUGGGCGAAAGCCUGACGGGGCAACGCCGCGUGAGUGAAGAAGGUCUUCGGAUCGUAAAACUCUGUUAUUAGGGAAGAACAAAUGUGUAAGUAACUAUGCACGUCUUGACGGUACCUAAUCAGAAAGCCACGGCUAACUACGUG
rnacentral:rRNA from 1 species